rnacentral:rRNA from 1 species
UACGAAGGGGGGCUAGCGUUGUUCGGAAUCACUGGGCGUAAAGCGCACGUAGGCGGACUUUUAAGUCAGAGGUGAAAUCCCAAGGCUCAACCUUGGAACUGCCUUUGAUACUGGGAGUCUUGAGGUCGAGAGAGGUGAGUGGAACUGCGAGUGUAGAGGUGAAAUUCGUAGAUAUUCGCAAGAACACCAGUGGCGAAGGCGGCUCACUGGCUCGAUUCUGACGCUGAGGUGCGAAAGCGUGGGGAGCAAACAGG